ACCUAGAAAUAGAAGGUGUUGAUACCCAGCCCUAGAGAUAGAAGGUGUUGAUACCCAGACCUAGAGAUAGAAGGUGUUGAUACCCAGACCUAGAGAUAGAAGGUGUUGAUACCCAGACCUAGAGAUAGAAAGCGUCGAUACCCAGACCUAGAGAUAGGAGGUGUUGAUACCCAGACCUAGAGAUAGGAGGUGUUGAUACCCAGACCUAGAGAUAGAAGGCGUUGAUACCCAGACCUAGAGAUGGAAGGCGUCGAUACCCAGACCUAGAGAUAAAGGUGUUGAUACCCAGACCUAGAGAUAAAGGCGUUGAUACCCAGACCUAGAGAUAAAAAGUGUUGAUACCCAGACCUAGAGAUAGGAGGUGUUGAUACUCAGACCUAGAGAUAGAAGGCGUUGAUACCCAAACCUAGAGAUGGAAGGCGUCGAUACUCAGACCUAGAGAUAGAAGGUGUUGAUACCCAGACCUAGAGAUAGAAGGUGUUGAUACCCAGACCUAGAGAUAGAAGGUGUUGAUACCCAGACCUAGAGAUAAAGGCGUUGAUACCCAGACCUAGAGAUAAAAAGUGUUGAUACCCAGACCUAGAGAUAGAAGGUGUUGAUACCCAGACCUAGAGAUAG